rnacentral:rRNA from 1 species
UACGGAGGGGGCUAGCGUUGUUCGGAAUUACUGGGCGUAAAGCGCGCGUAGGCGGCUUUGCAAGUUGGUGGUGAAAUCCCGGGGCUUAACCUCGGAAUUGCCUUCAAAACUGCAUGGCUCGAGUUCGGGAGAGGUGAGUGGAAUUCCCAGUGUAGAGGUGAAAUUCGUAGAGAUUGGGAAGAACACCGGUGGCGAAGGCGGCUCACUGGCCCGUAACUGACGCUGAGGCGCGAAAGCGUGGGGAGCAAACAGG